UACGAAGGGGGCAAGCGUUGUUCGGAUUUACUGGGCGUAAAGGGCGCGUAGGCGGAUCUGCAAGUCAGAGGUGAAAGCCCUGGGCUCAACCCGGGAAUUGCCUUUGAGACUGUUGGUCUUGAGUAUGGGAGAGGGUGGCGGAAUACCCAGUGUAGAGGCGAAAUUCGUAGAUAUUGGGUAGAACACCGGUGGCGAAGGCGGCCACCUGGCCCAUAACUGACGCUGAGGCGCGAAAGCGUGGGGAGCAAACAGG
rnacentral:rRNA from 1 species